CCGUGGUGGAGGCUGGGGCCAUGGCGGAGGCUGG
rfam:Sarcophilus harrisii ctg7180002500407, whole genome shotgun sequence.